UACGUAGGUGGCGAGCGUUUGUCCGGAUUUAUUGGGCGUAAAGCGCGUGCAGGUGGUUGGUUAAGGCCGAUGUAAAAAUCUCCCGGCUCACCUGGGAGGGCGCGUUGGCGACUGGCCGACUGGAGGCAGGUAGAGGCCGGUGGAAUUCCCGGUGUAGUGGUGAAAUGCGUAGAUAUCGGGAGGAACACCAGUGGCGAAAGCGGCCGGCUGGGCCUGUCCUGACGCUGAGGAGCGAAAGCGUGGGUAGCAAACAGG
rnacentral:rRNA from 1 species